rnacentral:lncRNA from 1 species
GAUGAAAUAACAUUUCAGCUCAAAGCUAGCAACCUUUCUCUGAAAUGGUGUCACACCCAGACAGAAAAAUAAAUGUGCUGUUUCUUCUUAGAUGAUGAGAAGUCAGGCUUUCAGGCAGACUUUUGACACAGGGAGGAUCAAGGUUUGACUGCCUUUGAGUAAUCCUUGCAGAAAAAACAGCACCUAAUUGGACAAAGGAAGAAAGGAACCAGCUGCUACUGUCAAGAUUAUUUAAACACCCAUCCACAGUCAAAAACACUGCAUUGUUUCAUUACAAGUGAAAUUUGAUUGCCACUACAUUUCCUGCUGGCCUCCCCUCUAUGCAAAUUGGGGAGAAGAAAG